UAAGCCUUUAUUCCAAAAAUUUGGAGAACUGAAAGAUGAAUAACUAGAAAAAUUAUGAGAAGCUUAAGAGAACAUACAAAUCAUACACAAUGAGAUUCUGUCUGCCUAAAAUAAAUUCUUUUACUGUGAACACAUUAAAACCUGUGCAUUUUUUAAGAAAUCUUGUACGAACCAUGAGUGCAUCCCUCACUGCAUGCUUCUUGAAGCUCGCCCGUAAGAAUGUGCUUCACUACCUGCUGCUGUUCAUAAAGGGAAAGUGCCCAAUUCCAUGCCAUGCCUAGUAAGAAGCACCUUACGUUGCCCAACCCAUUCUAGCCGGUAAGAAAAGUCAAAAUUCUGAAUUAGCAUCUUCAAACUGUCUGCAUAACUCAAACUCCUUGCAUUAUCCUGCAAAUUGCUCUGUCUAUCAUGUCCCAUUAUGCUUGCCAUUACACUAGACCUAGCAGAAUUGGGAGAGAAUCCUUCCCAUGGAGGAACAAAUAUUAAUUUGGUACACUGGACAGGAACAAGGCUUCGGCUCAGUUUCUCCCACCAGACAGAUCCCAAUGACCACCAUCUGAUCAUCAAACCAUGCUCAGAAAAAGCAACCAAACCCUCUCCAUCAGGGGAAAAGCUCAAAGCUGAAAUCACUGUAGUCACUGCUGUUUCUGAUGUUCCUGAAAGCAAAGUUGGAAGUCCUAGAGGUGCACUCGCAUCCAAAACCUUUAUUUUUGUCACACUUUGCAUGUCAUAUACUGAAAUGCUUGCAUUAUUGACCUCCCCAAUUGCAUCCCCAACAGCCAAUCUCGUGGACGUGUCAUUCAAGGCUACCAUAGGAAAUACACGUACAACUUCCCUUAGAGCUGUCAUUGAACUCUGAAUACAAGUUUUGCGCAUGACUAAGUUGCCAGGGUCCAUGGUGUGUAAUAUGAAGUUAACCACCUUAUCAAGGUACUGAGCUAAGUAUCUUGGAGAACCACGCACAACUCUGAUAAGAGUUGUCAGAGAUACCAGGUGAACAGGUGAAUCAGAUGCAGUAGACCAAAUUUGGCUUUCUAUAACAGUCAAAAACCCAAGAAUAUCAACCACUGCUAAACUUGGAAGAAGAACACCAACCAAAAUUUCUCGAAUGGAAGAUGGGACAGCUGGUUGGUGUCCAGCUGAGUUGGCAGAUGGACUGCUAACACACUCUAUUUGAAAGAAUAUAUCUGUAAUCAGACGAGGUAUUUCAGAACCAAUGCAUGCUUUCCAUGUAUCCUCCAUACCUUCUGCAAGGAGCUCUGCAGCAGUAGAACUAUAUUUUUCAUUCGCAGCCAUAACCAAUUUUAUUAAUGGUUGAACCACCAGCAUGGCAAGACUUGGUUUCACAAGACUAGGGUACCAUAUUGCCAAUGCUGCUGCAACAAUAAUAUGGGAUGUCAUUGCAUCUUGACUUGUCCCUCCAACACAUGAAAUCCAGUCUGGCACUUCAAAUGACUCUAACCAUGCAAGUAUUUUAGAUUCCUCUACCUCAGUGAUUCCUUGUGUUUCAGGUGAAUUGACAAAAGCUUCUUCAGCUUGAGAGCUUCCUUGUGAUUGAGGAAACAUGCCAGAAGACAAACCAUUAUCAGAUAUUCCUCCUGCUUUCGAAGCUCCACCUUCAUUUUCUCCAAUUUCACUCAGGGAUCUCACAAGUUUUGCAUGAUCACUUGUUCUCUGACCACAGAGAGGAAAUGGAAUUGCCCUUGAAGCAGCACAGUGGAAUAAAGUGCGAGCAGCCAUACGUACAUGCUCACUCUCAUCUUGCCAGAAACUCACCAAAAGCUGCAGUAAAGGUGGUUUUAUAUCUGGAAUUUGGUCAGCAAAAUUCCGGGUGUAAAAUGCUGCUAAAGCCCUGCUGGCUGCUGAACUGGAGGGAGACAAGCUAAUCAUGCCUUGGGCAAUUGACACCAUCGUCAGUGAUCUCAUAGCACAAAACUCGGAUGAUGAUUUCCACAGCUGAAAUGUUGUUUUCAAUGUCUCAGGGAAACUUGAAAUAAGCCAAACAAGAUAAUAGGUCCCAACAUUUAAUACAGGUCAUGCAGAAGUACCUCAAGAGCAGCACUCAAACCAGGAAAAGUAAGGGUUAAAGACCCUUUGUCCCCUUGCAAACCAGAAGCUAAAAUAAAAUUCUCUGGUCUCUUUAGCUUCAUGUCCAUCAUUAGCAAUUUAUCAAGCUCACUAUCUACAUUCCACAAAUGUAAAAUAGAUAAACUAAAUCUAAGUAAUAAUUCUUCUAGUGACCUAAUCCAAUCCUGCCCCUCUACAGCAUCAAUAGAGAUCCCAUUCUUAUCACAACUAUCAUCAAUGGAUACAUGGUGGGGACUUGGGGUAUUUGUUCCCUGUUCCUUAACAUUGGUAUUCUCCAGCUUAUCACUGCCAUUUGCUACAGACUCACGCUUCUGACAAGAAAACAUCAAUGAUGCAAGGUCAAAAGUGAGAGUAGCAAUCCCAGGAAAUGGACAAGUGCAUCUAAUGGGACAUUUGCUGUUUUUUAGGAAAGAUGAUGUGGUUGGAGCAGAAUUUCCCUUCUUAACCUGUGCUUGGGAACUAGUGGGCUCUAACAUAUUUGUAACACUUGACAAUGUAUUUGAUGAGACGUUCCUCUUCUCCAAAUAAUUUUUGUGAGAUGGAGAAAAGCUCCCAUCUUCAAUGACCGGCAGAAGUAAUGAGGACACUGAAGUAUUUCCAUUCAGUAUAGAACCAGAUAUGGAAUUAGCACUGAUUCCUUUACAAAAAUGAUCCAACAUUGAAUGGGAAGCAGUUCCACGAAGGACCCGCUCUAGAGCUCCUGUCUUUACAUCCCAAAUGUACAAAACAUCAACAACAUCAGAUGUCCCUGAAUGGCUCUGGCAAAGACAUGCAAUGUAGCCUCUUGCACCAUCCCACACAACUUUUUCAGGAUAGCUAGGGUGUGAAGGAAACAUUCUCUCUACCCUUAAAGUUUCAAGAGAAGCAAGGGAAACACAUGAGUCCUCCCCAACAGAGAGAAAGCAAUCACUCCAUGGAUGUUCAGUCCAUGCGGGGGAAAAGAUUAUCUGGCGCACUGGAGCAACAUGCUGGUGCAACACUGUUAUCAGAUUUCCAGAGUCAAGAUCCCAUAUGCGAACUGUGCAGUCUAUGCUUCCAGAAACUAAAACCUGACUGAAACUCCAUCCUUUGGCAGUACCCAACAUCUGGUGCGCUGCCAAACAAAGUACAGCACCACUGUGCCCAGUAAAAUAUUGUCUGAACACGUGUGAAUCUACAUCAUGACGUGGACUUCUGCCAUGAGAAUCUGGUCCCAGAAUCAAGUCAAAGCGUACAACCUCAAUUUCACCACUAGAGAAGCCAUACACAAUAGCGUAAGGAACAAAAAGAUUUUCAGAAAUAACCAUGGAAGAAGUUACAGUUUGUCCCUCAUGCAAAGAACUGCAACUUUCACCAUCUGCGUGUUUACUACUUUCAUUUUCUGAGCAUGAAACAGAACUUUGAGAAGAGGAUAUUCCCUUCUUCCUGCCACCAUGGCCAUAUAUUUCAUGGAGCAAACUAGAGCUUGAGAUCCACUCGGCAAAUAAAUCACAUUCUCCCAAUAUUUUGCACUGAGACAGCUCCCCAUAUUUAUCAUGUUUUUGACAUAAAGACCAGAUUGUCACAUGGGGUUUCCACUGUAAAGGCUCUUCAACGUCAAAGCAGACUGAUUCAAAUCGGAGAAGAUGAUUGUUAGACUGAAUGAAAGAAACUGAUAGUCUAACAUGAAGAGGAUAAGAAGCAGCAGGGAUCUCAGAAAGAAGCUCACACUUAAAUACAUCAUCCAAAUACGAUACAACAUACACAACUGCAGAACCUGCACGGUUCCAUACAGCAAAAUUUUCCCAAAAAUUUUCAUAUGCUUCCUGGGUAUUCUGCAUUCUAACGGCACCAAAACUUUCAAGAAACAUCCCCCCAAGUAUACAUGAUUGAGUAGAAUUGCCUUCAACAGAAAGUAGAUUGCCCAGAAAAGAAAUCUCCCCAAUUUUAGUGUCACUGGUCAAUAGCCUAAAUAUGCAGCAAUUUUUCAACACAAGUGCAAUAAGGUUCCCUCGGGUUGCGAUUGAAACAACCUGUCCUCCUUCACUCACACCAUUACCCCAAACUUCGAACUGAGAACUCUUAUGCUGGUCAUUCACCCCUUCACCAUCUAGGUUGGAAUCUUUUAAUAUUGGAACCAAUUGUACUCUAGCAUACGAAUCAGCCAUAAAAACAGAAUGUUGUUCCCCUUCCUCACCCAACAAAACUACAUCCAUAAAUCUCAAUGGCCCAAUUGAUAAAUUCCCAUGAAAAACAGUUUGCACAAUAGUAAGACUAUAAGUGUCAACAAUUACUACAGUGCAUCUUGGGGGUUUUCUAGGCUGAGGCUCCUUGUCUGCAGAAUCCUCACUCCCAUCAAUAGAAUAAAUAGAAUGAUGAUCAGAUAAUUGGGCAGAAUCACCGAGACAACAGCCUAUACACACAUAUCGAGAACUCGUGGGCAAUGUACGAAUAAUGGAUGGACUGCCAAUCCAAGGGGGCAGUUUUCUUCUACGUCUGCAAUGUCCGCUCCCUCUACUCCAGACACACAAUAAGCCAUCCACACAGGCACUUAUUAAGGCACCACAUGUACCGGAAAUUGAGUUUGCAGCACCAUUACUUGAAUAAUCUGUUUCUUUAACAUCACCUGAAACGACCACAGGAUAACAGAUGCUGAGAUCAGCUAUUGGCGCAGCAUGACCACACAGCAUAGCAACCGGUUUGAUCUCCGAAUUGGAAUCGGAAGUGGAGAGGUUCCACCAGAUAAUGGAGCCAUCGGAUCCGCCCGUAUAUAAGGUCGGAGGUUGAUUCAGUACAGCGGUGGCGGUAAUUCUGUGACCCGGAGGCGUGCCUGACCAAACACACGCCACGGAUCGGCACUUCAUGGCCUGGUCAGUUCAGUUGAACCCGUGAGUGAGCGAGUCAGUGUCCUCGUUUGGGAUGGCAUAAGAGGAAUCAGUAGCGGAGAUUGACACCGUAAGGAGGGCAAAUUCGCCGGCGUGAAAAGGGAAACUUGAAACGCAGUAACUGUAUUAAAAUCCGUCAACACUGCAAGCCCA
rnacentral:misc_RNA from 1 species